CCUCGCAGGCUUUCCGCUGCCGACGCGUGGCCCGGGAACAUGGAAAGGACGCGGCUUUCUCUCUCUCCACUAUUACCCGUGAAUACCUCUCUCUUCCAUUAUUGAAUUAGCGACCGACUCUUCCACGCAUCCAUCUUUCCCCAUUGCCUGCGUCCAGUCGUGCGGAACCAGCAAGCGGACCGGAGGCGCGGCGAGCGGAGCCCCGGCGCACGGACGCGCGCCCCCCUGGCGGCGAGCUAGGAUCUUCACGGAUGGAGCCGUGGCACGUGGACAAGAGGAGAAUGGGGAUGGAGGCCGACGCCGCAGCCGUGGACCUACUCCGAUCGCAGAUCCCGUUCCAGAUCGACGGGAAGUUCGUUCUCCCGCCGCGCGACGUCGGGGUCGUCCUCGUCGGCCUCUGCAACGGCUUCUGCACCGUUGGCGCCGGGAACCUCGUGGAAAUUGUCAAGGAAGAAGCAGGGUGACAAAGAAUGCAGCGAGAAGAACUAGAAGUGGACCUGCAGAAAGUUCGGGAACAAAUGCUAGCUGUACAACCCUCUGGGAAAGCAAGGAGAUAUAUGGAAGAUGGAAUGGUUGAUUUAGCUGAUUCAUCUAGGCACCCAAUAGAUAUGCAUAAUGAGCUCCUCUGUGCUCAAGAGACUAUUAGAAUACUUAGAAGGGAGGUUUCUGAGAAGGAAUCAGAGAUUGCUCAGUGCAAUGCACAUAUCUCAGAGCUAAACGUUCAUGUUGAGGCAGUGGCACAAGAAUACAAGCACAAGAUGAAUUCUAAGAAAGAUGAAGAGCUUAGUGCUGCGAAACAACGUAUUGUGGAACUCGAGGGCAUAGCAGCUAGGAGACAAAGGGAGGUGAGGUUAUUCUUAAUUUUUCACUUCUUUUUGCCUACCUUUUUUUAUUUUUCCAACUUAUAUUUAUUGUUAUUUUGUUUGAGGAUAUUCAUGUUGAAUGCGAAAUUAGCACCAGUAGAGAGCAUGGCGCCCAUAUGGGGUUCGAGAUAUGCUUGGGGUUAAAAUAAACAUGACAACUUGGACGCUGUAGACAGACCCUAGAGCAUCUAUCAAAGGAACCAGACAGCGAUCAUGAGUUUAGGAGGCAACGGAGGGCAAUAACAAGGACUCAUCUGACACACAAGGCACGUUCUGUUCCUAUACUGUCUGCUAUCAAAAAUAGAUAUUAUAAGGUUACUGAUGGGGCUUUGCGGGCGUGCGGAGAGGUAGUCCGUGUCCUUUGCCCAAUUCUCGAGGUCAUAUUGUAUUCCAUGUCUUGCGGACAUGAAGUACCCUGUUGUCUGAUUUUUAUUUUUUUUAAUUUUGUGGUGCAGACAACCUCGGUUGUUUUUAGACCAUACAACUCUAUGUGGUCGAUUACAACAUGCUUUGGGAUUGAUUUCAAAAAAACAAAAAACAAAUGCAUAAAUAUGAGAAAGAAGCUAAAGAAAAGGUCAGUUCGAUUAUUCAGAUUGCUAGCACAUCUCAGCCUGUACUUCUGGUCGUGUCUUCUAAGGGCCCCUUUGGCAGGGCUCUGGCUUCUCCAAAAACGGCUUUGGCUCUGACUCACGAGGUGAAGCCACUUCUUUAGAUGAGCCAAAGCCAUUCUGAAAAAUCAUUUGGCAAAACGGCUUAUAGGUUGUUUUUAGAAAGACCCUUGUAUAGUUUACUUUUUAUAGAUCUCUCCUGUACGUGGCUAGGGAUUGAGGGCAGGACCAAAAAAAUUAGUUUGGAUUGGUGGGAGGGCUAUUGUGCAAAAAUAACGUGAGCUGAAGCCGGGUGAGCCACUUUUUUGGCUCAUGCCCUCUAGUUCAUUUUGGAAAAGCACUUCACUAGUGAAGCCAUUUGAAAAAGAGGUGUUUGGCACAACUUUUGCAUGAGCCAGAGCCGAAGCUGAAAAAUAAGCCCUACCAAAGGGGCCCUAAGUCUUGCCAUUGUAAGCAACAAUUGCAUGCAUAUUUUUUUCAGUUGUUUACAUGUAGAUAAUUGCCUCCAAUCAGAAGAGAAUUAAUAUGUUUGAUCAUUGAGUUUUCAUUUGCACCCUAUCAAUUUUGUCAUGCCUUGUUGACUCUUUGGUGGCAUGAUUGUCUCAUUGUCCUGGACCUGUAUCUGGUGUCCUGCUUUAGGGAAAGGAACGUGUCCUGGUUUAUUUGUUUAUUUACUCAACAACUGCUAUACACCUAAAUGUGUACAGAUUACUGUGUUCUUGGAUGGCUAUAUAUAAUAUAAUAGGCAACCUUUAUUUGGUAGUGCCGUGAAUUUUUUGUUGCAGCUUUGCUGUAUUCUUUAACCCUAGAUCAUGUGGUAUCCAUUUAUGUUUUUUUUGGCCUAUCCUGUCACUUUGGAACUGUGGUGAAUCACUGCUUACUUUGAUUGCACUUAAUGAAACUAAGCAUUAAAAGUCUGGUAAAAAAAUAUCUGAUAUUGUUAAAUACUCCCUCCGUUCACUUAUGAUAGUCCUAUUUCACCUUGACACAAUGACCAAGGAGAAGAACUCUUGCUUAUAAUCUAAUUAAUUACAUCAUCAAACAGUCCUUGUUUUUUGCGAAAACUCCUCGAUUUUGAUGUUUUUAUAUACAUGCACCAGUCUUUUUUCUAGAUGAGUUACUCUGCACGGGGACCCAAACAGUCAUUUAUAUCAGAUUUGGGACCACAACUCAAAUAAGACUAUAAAAAAUGAACAACUCAAUUUUGAAAAUAGGACUAUCAAAAGUGAAUGGAGGGAGUAUUGCUGUGAGAUGGUCCAAAACAACUCUUAAUUGCUGUAAUUUUGGUUUCUUAUUUAAGUCUAUUUGUAAACAAGUCAUGCAAAUAACUGUAGAUGAGACAAAAGUCUGAAAUGUUGUAAAUGUGUGUAGUUGAUCUCUUUCAGGUUCCUUUUCCAUAUCACAAUAUAGUAAUUUAGUUGCUUCUUUAUUUUGCUUUUGUCAUUUGAGGAUUCUGGGAGUUGAGGAGAGUGCUUCACAACAAGAGAUAGAGAAGGUGUAUCACAAAUUGGCUCUGCGCCUCCACCCGGAUACGAAUCCUGGGAACGAGCCAAAGAGAAGUUUCAGCGGUUGCAGAAGGUUAUAUCCAUUCUUGGAGAUACAGAGAAAAGAGCUUUAUAUGAUGAGACUGACAUCAGUGAUGACCAUACAAUCUUCAGGAGUACUUCCGAACAAUGUACAAAAAGAUUUAGCUAGAGAGCUUCUACACGAUUUCAACUUCCACAAUGGACAAAUCACCAUUUCAAGUUCUACAAUGGGUUGUCUCAUUUACUAGACAUUAGAUCCUGUUUUCAACCACUGUAGGGCGCCCGAAGGGGCGCCUGAUGUUCUAGUAUAUUAAUGGCAGAGCCAGAUCAUGUCUUUGUGAAGCCUUUGCCAAACUUAUCUCUUGGUGAUAAGCCAGCGGCAUUUCUAUUUUUCUACAUCAAACCGACUGAGAAUGAUAAGAAGUUGAGGAAGUUUUUUCCAGAAGAAAAAGGGCCUAUUUCAAAUAUUGAUCCUAUUGGUAAUUCUCCGGUUAUAAUUAAGAAGAGGUAGAAGCAGCAGAAUUGAGUGCUUGCCUGUUCAGUCAUAUUGGUUCAAGCGCAUCUAAUUUGGUCUCGGUCUCGAGGAGGAGUAUAAUGGUAUGAAGGUUCAUAUGGAGGCUGUUGGAACAUCACCGAGGGAUGGACAGUUCGAGGAUCCCAUGUCUGCGGCAGAAGAGGCCGCGUUCUGCAAUCCCGUGUCUGCGGCAGAAGAGGUCGCGUUUUGCAAUGCGUUCACUAGAGUUCUAAAACCAAAAAUGGAAGAAUAGAACAUUACCCAAAACUUUGUAUUAAUAAUUAUGAAGAUAUAUCAUACAUUAGGAAUUCAAAUCAUGUAUCAGGAGUCACAUUCUUUCUUUGCAUAUUCUUCAUCUCUCUCCUCAAACAUAGUGUUCAGGACAAUUUUUCAGGAUACCCGGACAAUCUAACAUCAUUCUCUUCUUGCAUCACAAACUAUAGCUCUUAUUUAUCAUACAACAUCAAUCUUAGCAAUGGUGGUGAUGACAACUGCACUGUUAGCAAUGAUUGCCAACAAAGAAAUUGUGAGAUAUUGAGGUUUGAUAAAAUAUAUAU